rnacentral:rRNA from 1 species
UACGUAGGGAGCAAGCGUUGUCCGGAAUCAUUGGGCGUAAAGCGCGCGUAGGUGGCCCCAUAAGUCCGCUGUGAAAGUCAAAGGCUCAACCUUUGAAAGCCGGUGGAUACUGUGGGACUAGAGUACGGAAGAGGCGAGUGGAAUUCCUGGUGUAGCGGUGGAAUGCGCAGAUAUCAGGAGGAACACCAAUAGCGAAGGCAGCUCGCUGGGACGUGACUGACGCUGAGACGCGAAAGCGUGGGGAGCAAACAGG